UACAGAGGGUGCGAGCGUUUAAUCGGAAUUACUGGGUCGUAAAGCGCGUGUAGGCGGCCGUUUAAGUCGGGUGUGAAAGCCCGGGGCUCAACCCCGGGAUGCCGCCCGAGACUGGACGGCUUGAGGUCGGAAGAGGGGAGUGGAAUUCCAGGUGUAGCGGUGAAAUGCGUAGAGAUCUGGAGGAACACCCGUGGCGAAGGCGCUCCCUGGUCCGAUUCUGACGCUGAGACGCGAAAGCGCGGGGAGCGAACGGG
rnacentral:rRNA from 1 species